CACACAUUUAACUGAAUAUAAUGGAGGAGGCUUGCUUCUUAGAAAUAACUUGUUUCUUAUUGCUGCAGUUAGAAAUACAAUGCCCCUUUAUUGUAUUUUUUUUCUUAACCCUACAGGAUGCCCGGUGGUACUCAGCCUUCCAUGUGGCUGAACAGAUGCCAGUGUACCUGAAUUCUGAGACACUACUGGAUGUUCUUUUCUUCUGCUUUUAAGAUUUCCAAUUUGGGAUGAUGUGCAGUUCAUGUUAGAUUUGCUAUUUCUACAGUUACAGUGAAGUAGAACAGUCCGGUCGUGUUGUGGGGCAGCAGGUAACGAAGAAGGAAGGAGAGAUGCGUGCCAUGUUGAAGUAGUGGCUGGCCCUUCUGCCUGGCACUUCUAGAAUCCUCCAUCUAAACCUCUGCUCUGAUCUGCUGUGCCUUUGCCAAGUGAUCACGAGUUUAUUGCAAUGGUGCCCCCUGCAUCUCCACUGUCUGUUACAUCAACUGAAACUGCCUGUGAUGCCAGAGAGAAGAAAAGUUCACUAGACGUCCUGAAAAUAGAAUUGUGAUUGGAGU